rnacentral:rRNA from 1 species
UACGAAGGGGGCUAGCGUUGUUCGGAUUUACUGGGCGUAAAGCGCACGUAGGCGGAUUGUUAAGUCGGGGGUGAAAUCCUGGAGCUCAACUCCAGAAUUGCCUUCGAUACUAGCUUUCUAGAGGCUGGAAGAGGUUAGUGGAAUUCCCAGUGUAGAGGUGAAAUUCGUAGAUAUCGUCAGGAAUGCCGGUGGUGAAGACGGGUGACUGGGCUGGUUCUGACACUGAGGCACGAAAGCGUGGGGAGCGAACAGG